rnacentral:rRNA from 1 species
CAGUCGUACCGACGGAAAAUCAGCUCUUUGAGUGCGGACUUGUGGGCUUACGUGAGUUUUAACACCUCGCUGUUUGCAACGUUCGUGUUUUUUGGGUGUACUUUUUCGUAUGGUUGGCCAAUAUCAGUUUUGAUCGCUAUAAAAUGACCGGCGGAAUGUAGCUUCGAUCUCGUAUUGAAGUGUUAUAGCCUCUGGUAGAUGUGGUGAUCGGGACUGAGGAUUGCAACGAAUACCUUUUGGGCUAUCCGUCUGAUCUCUGAAGGUUGCUUAGGUGCCGAAAGCGUGCUUACGGUUAUUUAAGUUGACAGUCAAAAGGUUAGAACGGAUUAUA